AUGGACCCGCGGUGCGGCGGCCACUGGGAGAGCUCGUCGGAGGACGUCACGAGGUCGCUGCUACCCCUGCACGACAUCACAGCGGACGGCGGCGACCACCGCUCCCCCUGCUCGCCGCUCGUCGCGUCGCUGCUCGCCAACAGGUACCUGUCAAUCGCCGCCGGCCCGCUGGCCGCCGCGCUGAUCUGCGCGCUCGUCGACCUCGGCCCCGGACACGCCGCGGCGCGCAACAUGCUCGGCGUGCUGGCGUGGGUGUUCAUCUGGUGGAUCACCGACGCCGUGCCGCUGGCCGUCGCGUCCAUGGCGCCGCUCUUCCUCUUCCCCGUCUUCGGCAUCUCCUCCGCCGACGCCGUCGCCAAGGCCUACAUGGACGACGUCAUCUCCCUCGUCCUCGGCAGCUUCAUCCUCGCCCUCGCCAUCGAGCACUACAACAUCCACCGCCGCCUGGCGCUCAACAUCACGUCGCUGUUCUGCGGGGACCCGGUGAAGCCGGCGCUGCUGUUGCUGGGGAUCUGCGGCACGACCAUGUUCAUCAGCAUGUGGAUCCACAACACGCCGUGCACCGUCAUGAUGAUGCCGGUGGCCACGGGAAUCCUGCAGAGGCUCCCCGACGACGCGCGCGAGUUCCGGCGGUUCUCCAAGGCGGUGGUGCUCGGCGUCGUGUACGCGUCGGCGAUCGGGGGGCUGGCCACGCUCACCGGCACGGGCGCCAACAUCAUCCUGGUCGGGAUGUGGUCCACCUACUUCCCGGAGCAGGAGCCCUUCACCUUCAGCUCCUGGAUGUCCUUCGGCCUCCCCAUGUCGCUCGUGCUCUUCGCCGCGCUCUGGGCCACGCUCUGCCUCAUGUACUGCUCCAACAACACCGGGAGGGCACUCUCCGCUUACCUUGACCGCACCCAUCUCAGGAGGGAGCUCAGCUUGCUUGGUCCAAUGGCUUUUGCAGAGAAGAUGGUUCUUGCCGUCUUUGGGGGCCUGAUCGUCUUGUGGAUGACGAGGAGCCUGACGGACGACAUCCCUGGGUGGUCUGUCCUCUUCCACGGCAAUGUCGGGGAUGGAACAGUCACUAUCAUGAUGGCGACGCUGCUCUUCAUAAUCCCGAGCGGCAAGAGCGACGGCGAGAAGCUCAUGGACUGGGGCAAGUGCCGGCGGCUGCAGUGGCACAUCGUCCUCCUCCUCGGCGCGGGGUUCGCCAUCGCCGACGGGUUCAAGGCGAGCGGCCUGACGGACAUCCUCGCCGGGUGGCUUGGCUUCCUGCGGGGCGCGCCGGCGCUGGCGGUCGCGCCCGUGGCGUGCGCCUUCAGCGGCCUCCUCACGGAGUUCACCUCCGACGACGCCACCACCACGCUGGUGCUGCCACUGCUGGCGGAGCUGGGCAGGACCAUCGGCGUGCACCCGCUGCUGCUCAUGGUGCCCGGCGCCGUCGGCGCGCAGCUCUCCUACCUGCUGCCCACCGGGUCGCCCGGCAACUCCGUCGGGUUCAGCACCGGCUACGUCACCAUCAAGGACAUGGUGGUCACCGGCAUGCCCAUCAAAAUCGUCGGCGUUGCCGCUCUCACGGUCCUGCUGCCAACGAUAGGUGUUGCGGUUUUUGGCAUGGAUCAGAAGGUGUAG
rnacentral:rRNA from 1 species